rnacentral:rRNA from 1 species
GGUUAAGUUACAAAGGGCGCACGGUGGAUGCCUUGGCACUAGGAGCCGAUGAAGGACGGAACUAAUACCGAUAUGCUUCGGGGAGCUAUAAGUAAGCUUUGAUCCGGAGAUUUCCGAAUGGGGGAACCCAGUACACAUCAGUGUAUUGCCUGCAAGUGAAUUCAUAGCUUGUUGGCGGCAGACGCGGGGAACUGAAACAUCUCAGUACCCGCAGGAAGAGAAAGAAAACUCGAUUCCCAUAGUAGCGGCGAGCGAAGUGGGAAGAGCCCAAACCGAGAAGCUUGCUUCUCGGGGUUGUAGGACUGGACAUUGGAGUUACCAAAGUUCGACGUAGUCGAAGUCAGCUGGAAAGCUGCGCCAUAGAAGGUGAAAGCCCUGUAAGCGAAACGGCGGACUCUCCGUCCAGAAUCCUGAGUACAGCGGAACACGUGAAAUUCCGUCGGAAUCCGGGAGGACCAUCUCCCAAGGCUAAAUACUCCCUAGUGACCGAUAGUGAACCAGUACCGUGAGGGAAAGGUGAAAAGCACCCCGGAAGGGGAGUGAAACAGUUCCUGAAACCGUGUGCCUACAAUUAGUCAAAGCCCGUUAAGGGGUAAUGGCGUGCCUUUUGUAGAAUGAACCGGCGAGUUACGUUUGCCUGCGAGGUUAAGAUGAAAAGUCGGAGCCGGAGCGAAAGCGAGUCUGAACAGGGCGAAUGAGUAGGCAGAUGUAGACCCGAAACCAAGUGACCUACCCAUGACCAGGUUGAAGGUGUGGUGAAACACACUGGAGGACCGAACCCAUGUAUGUUGAAAAAUGCUGGGAUGAGUUGUGGGUAGCGGUGAAAUUCCAAACGAACUUGGAGAUAGCUGGUUCUCUCCGAAAUAGCUUUAGGGUUAGCCUCGGAGGAUGGAUCAUGGAGGUAGAGCACUGUUUGAACUAGGGGCCCAUCAAGGGUUACUGAAUUCAGAUAAACUCCGAAUACCAUCGAUCUUACUCCGGGAGUCAGACAGUGAGCGAUAAGGUCCAUUGUCGAAAGGGGAACAGCCCAGAUCACCAGUUAAGGUCCCUAAAUUUAUGCUAAGUGGAAAAGGAUGUGGCGUUGCACAGACAACUAGGAUGUUGGCUCAGAAGCAGCCACCAUUUAAAGAGUGCGUAAUAGCUCACUAGUCGAGUGGCACUGCGCCGAAAAUAUACCGGGGCUAAGCAUAAUACCGAAACUGUGGGUGCACCCGUAAGGGUGCGCGGUAGGAGAGCGUUCUAAGGGCGUUGAAGGUCGAUCGUGAGGACGGCUGGAGCGCUUAGAAGUGAGAAUGCCGGCAUGAGUAGCGAAAGAUCAGUGAGAAUCUGAUCCACCGUAUGACUAAGGUUUCCUGGGGAAGGCUCGUCCUCCCAGGGUUAGUCGGGAUCUAAGGCGAGGCCGCAAGGCGUAGUCGAUGACAAGCAGGUUGAGAUUCCUGCACUAGUUUAUUUUGUUUAAGCGAUGGAGGGACGCAGGAGGCUAAGGAAAGCGCACAGCUGGAAAAGUGCGUCCAAGCCGCAAGUCUGGUGGCGAGUGAAAUGCUUGCGACCAUAAGGACAAGCGGUGAUGGGGAGCGAAAUUAAAGUAGCGAAGUUCCUGAUGUCACACUGCCAAGAAAAGCUUCUAGUGAGAAAUAAACUACCCGUACCGCAAACCGACACAGGUAGUCGAGGAGAGUAUCCUCAGGUGAGCGAGCGAACUCUCGUUAAGGAACUCGGCAAAAUGACCCCGUAACUUCGGAAGAAGGGGUGCUGACCGCAAGGUCAGCCGCAGUGAAUAGGCCCAAACAACUGUUUAUCAAAAACACAGGUCUCUGCUAAAUCGAAAGAUGAUGUAUAGGGGCUGACGCCUGCCCGGUGCUGGAAGGUUAAGAGGAUGAGUUAGCGCAAGCGAAGCCCAGAAUUGAAGCCCCAGUAAACGGCGGCCGUAACUAUAACGGUCCUAAGGUAGCGAAAUUCCUUGUCGGGUAAGUUCCGACCCGCACGAAAGGCGUAAUGAUUUGGGCACUGUCUCAACGAGAGACUCGGUGAAAUUAUAGUACCCGUGAAGAUGCGGGUUACCCGCGACAGGACGGAAAGACCCCAUGGAGCUUUACUGUAGCUUGAUAUUGAGUGUUGGUACCGCUUGUACAGGAUAGGUAGGAGCCGUAGAGAUCGGAACGCUAGUUUCGAUGGAGGCGUUGGUGGGAUACUACCCUAGCUGUAUGAACACUCUAACCCGCGCCACUGAUCGUGGCGGGAGACAGUGUCAGGUAGGCAGUUUGACUGGGGCGGUCGCCUCCUAAAAUGUAACGGAGGCGCCCAAAGGUUCCCUCAGAAUGGUUGGAAAUCAUUCGGCAGAGUGUAAAGGUAGAAGGGAGCUUGACUGCGAGACUGACAAGUCGAGCAGGGACGAAAGUCGGGCUUAGUGAUCCGGUGGUUCCGUAUGGAAGGGCCAUCGCUCAACGGAUAAAAGCUACCCUGGGGAUAACAGGCUUAUCUCCCCCAAGAGUCCACAUCGACGGGGAGGUUUGGCACCUCGAUGUCGGCUCAUCGCAUCCUGGGGCUGUAGUCGGUCCCAAGGGUUGGGCUGUUCGCCCAUUAAAGCGGUACGCGAGCUGGGUUCAGAACGUCGUGAGACAGUUCGGUCCCUAUCCGUCGCGGGCGCAGGAAAUUUGAGAGGAGCUGUCCUUAGUACGAGAGGACCGGGAUGGACGUUCCGCUGGUGUACCAGUUGUGCCGCCAGGCGCAUCGCUGGGUAGCUAUGAACGGAAGGGAUAAACGCUGAAAGCAUCUAAGUGUGAAGCCCCCUCGAGAUGAGAUUUCCCAUUCCUAUAUGGAAGUAAGACCCCUGAGAGAUGAUCAGGUAGAUAGGCUGGAAGUGGAAGUGCAGCGAUGCAUGGAGCGGACCAGUACUAAUCGGUCGAGGACUUAACCAA